rnacentral:misc_RNA from 1 species
AAGUCGUAACAAGGUAUCCGUAGGUGAACCUGCGGAUGGAUCAUUAAUUGAUUGUAUAAUCUUUUAUUAGAUUGAUUAAUUGUGCAUUGUACUUUGUCGAUACUUGUGGAAACAAGUUUGACAAUGUCAUUUUAUUGUUAAUUAACUGAUUAACUUAUUGAAAGAAAACAACUUUUAGCAACGGAUCUCUAGGCUCUC